CCUACGGGGGGCAGCAGUCGAGAAUCAUUCACAAUGGGGGAAACCCUGAUGGUGCGACGCCGCGUGGGGGAAUGAAGGUCUUCGGAUUGUAAACCCCUGUCAUGUGGGAGCAAAUUAAAAAGAUAGUACCACAAUAGGAAGAGACGGCUAACUCUGUGCCAGCAGCCGCGGUAAUACAGAGGUCUCAAGCGUUGUUCGGAAUCACGGGGCGUAAGGCGUGCGUAGGCUGUUUCGUAAGUCGUGUGUGAAAGGCGCGGGCUCAACCCGCGGACGGCACAUGAUACUGCGAGACUAGAGUAAUGGAGGGGGAACCGGAAUUCUCGGUGUAGCAGUGAAAUGCGUAGAUAUCGAGAGGAACACUCGUGGCGAAGGCGGGUUCCUGGACAUUAACUGACGCUGAGGCACGAAGGCCAGGGGAGCGAAAGGGAUUAGAUACCCGUGUAGUC
rnacentral:rRNA from 1 species